GCAAGUCGAGCGAGAACACCUCCUUCGGGAGGUUAGUAAAGCGGCGAACGGGUGAGUAACACGUGAGCGAUCUACCUGGCGGCGGGGGAUAACCCAAGGAAACCUGGGCUAAUACCGCAUACAGCACUGGCUUGGAAGCCGGAUGUGAAAGCUGGCCUCUCGAAGAAGCUGGCACCGUCGGAUGAGCUCGCGGCCUAUCAGCUAGUUGGUGGGGUAACGGCCUACCAAGGCGAUGACGGGUAGCUGGCGUGAGAGCGUGGCC
rnacentral:rRNA from 1 species